GCCCUAGUAGCUUAAAUUUAAAGCGCUGGUCUUGUAAACCAAAGACUGAAGUUUAGAACCUUCUUAGGGCU
rnacentral:tRNA from 1 species